GUGAUGUCUGGUUAUGGUAAGUAUCACCAGCGUAUAUGACUUUUAAUCAUGUGGCCGUGGGUUCGAAUCCCACCCGGAUCACCA
rnacentral:tRNA from 1 species